CCUCUUUCUUCCUCUGCUGCGCGAGGCGCGGCGAGGAGAGGCGAGGCGAGCCCGGGCAAGAGGCGCCGGCUGCACGGCGAGGGAGGCGGCAGCAGACUGCUCCUAGCGGUCUUUCUUGGUGGAGUAUGUCGGCACAAGAGACCAACUCUUCAGUAUUAGGCUGGACACUGGAGUAAACCGCAGAGGAUGGCGGACUUCCAAGCAUCUGGGAAAGCCUGAGAGAGCCCUUUUGGUGGAAGAAGGUUGUGCCAUUGAUGGCACUGCUUGGCUUGAAGGAGCCCCUCCUGGCCUUGUGUGGAGCUGCCCAGAGCUGGUGGGAACCAGAGGCCUUCUGAAAAGGAGCAGAGCAAGAGGUGCCAGAGGAGACGUGCAUGUGGCACGCGGGCCGGAAAGACACCAGGCCUCCUCCUGUCAGUGGCAGUUUCCUCUUCACAGAACUGGAAACAUUUGUUGUGGGGGGGCGGGGCAGACUCCCUUCUGUGUUGGUACAAUCGUUUGUAUUAACCGCUGCAAGCAAAUAAAAUGCCUUAGUUGGA